rnacentral:rRNA from 1 species
UGGGGGAUAUUGCACAAUGGGGGAAACCCUGAUGCAGCGACGCCGCGUGGAGGAAGAAGGUUUUCGGAUUGUAAACUCCUGUCGUUAGGGACGAAAAUGACGGUACCUAACAAGAAAGCACCGGCUAACUACGUGCCAGCAGCCGCGGUAAAACGUAGGGUGCAAGCGUUGUCCGGAAUUACUGGGUGUAAAGGGAGCGCAGGCGGACCGGCAAGUUGGAAGUGAAAUCUAUGGGCUCAACCCAUAAAUU